CCUUGGCCCAGGAAAGAUCAUGGAAGGCUGGUCACAAACCAAGCCAGAUGUUGACUUUCGUAAGACCAGCGAAUAGAGACAGGAGUUUCUUUUAUACUUAGAGAAACCAGAGUUUCACAGUAAUGUAACAACACAAGUGAAUAGUGAUAACUAGCUGAGUGCAUAGAAAGACCCAAUCCUCUUAAACCAGAUUGAUUUUCAUGGCCUUAAUUCACUUCUCCUUCUCUGCUUUGAUGUCCUACUGACUGUUGAGCCAGAAUGCUAAAUCACAGAUGAUGGAAUGGAGGAAAGAGAAGUAAAGGAGAGCCAUCAAAUCAGACAAAAGCUAUCUGUCUCUUUGGAGAGACAACCUCUGGGCUCAUCCACUGCGUUACAUUCUUAGAGCUUGUAGAAGAGUGGUUAUUAAAUAUUUUCAAGGCUACAGACUCCUUCAAGAAU